rnacentral:rRNA from 1 species
AAAACUCAAAUGAAUUGACGGGGGCCCGCACAAGCGGUGGAGCAUGUGGUUUAAUUCGAUGCAACGCGAAGAACCUUACCUGGCCUUGACAUCCACGGAAUUCGGCAGAGAUGCCUUAGUGCCUUCGGGAACCGUGAGACAGGUGCUGCAUGGCUGUCGUCAGCUCGUGUUGUGAAAUGUUGGGUUAAGUCCCGCAACGAGCGCAACCCUUAUCCUUUGUUGCCAGCACGUGAUGGUGGGAACUCAAAGGAGACUGCCGGUGAUAAACCGGAGGAAGGUGGGGAUGACGUCAAGUCAUCAUGGCCCUUACGGCCAGGGCUACACACGUGCUACAAUGGCGCAUACAAAGAGAAGCGACCUCGCGAGAGCAAGCGGACCUCAUAAAGUGCGUCGUAGUCCGGAUCGGAGUCUGCAACUCGACUCCGUGAAGUCGGAAUCGCUAGUAAUCGUAGAUCAGAAUGCUACGGUGAAUACGUUCCCGGGCCUUGUACACACCGCCCG